rnacentral:rRNA from 1 species
UACGUAGGGUGCGAGCGUUGUCCGGAAUUAUUGGGCGUAAAGAGCUCGUAGGCGGUUUGUCACGUCGGAUGUGAAAUCCCGGGGCUUAACUCCGGGCCUGCAUUCGAUACGGGCUGACUAGAGUUCGGCAGGGGAGACUGGAAUUCCUGGUGUAGCGGUGAAAUGCGCAGAUAUCAGGAGGAACACCGAUGGCGAAGGCAGGUCUCUGGGCAUUAACUGACGCUGAGGAGCGAAAGCAUGGGGAGCGAACAGG